CUUCUUCUUCUUCCUUCUCCAAGCCUGAAAGAAACAAUUUUGAACUAUAACGGAUACUAUUGAUCAAGAAUUGUGUAAUGGUUCAUAAUCAAAAGAACAUAAUACGCGAGUAUCAGAUAGUUUCGAGGUGAAAUACGAUUUUAUUGAAGGACAAAGCAACAUUUUUGUAUGAGGAAACAAAUUCGAAUUCGUCGUGAUGUUGUGCACAAAACUCUGUUCUUCAUGUGAUUAAGUCUGAGAUUAUAAACACAAUGUAGCGAUGGUUGCCUAACAAUGUGUGACAUUGUGUAAUUAGUAAAUAGCAACAGCGGAAUCAGGGAUAGGCAAACCUAGACCACCGCCCAGGGCUGUUCGGUUUCAAAGUGAAAAAAUCCUUUGUAAAAUUUUCAAAAUCAAAGUUUCUGCUCAGUGUGGUUUCGAAUUUUGCCCAGUAUUGCUUUCAGAAUACAGUAAACUUGAAAUCCUGCCCAGGGCCUCGGACCAUCCUGGUUCUACUAUUGGCAAUUAGUCGCUCUUCGAUUGAUGUCGAUCUUAAGAAGUUUACUCAUGUUCUAAAAUCCGAAUCAAGUCCAAACAUCCUAUCAUGGAUUUCCAAGUAAAAAAGGGAAACAAAACGGAUGCAUGAUGAGUACCUGCAGAGAAUUCAUUCUCAUGUUGUACAAGAAAGUCAUCAUGUUUGGCCAGCUGAUCAUCAAGAAUCACUGAAGCGAGCUUCUCAUUCAGGUUCUUCACAAUUUUGGAAGGUAAAGCUACAGUCUUGGGAAUCUUCCUCGACUAAACAAGGAGAAUUAAUACACUAUAAACCCUCUGAGGCUUCGUCAAAAUGUUGCACGAGUUAUUAAUAACUUGGAAAUGGAGAAAGAAAAAGUAAAGCUUGAAUCUUUACAUACUAAUCAGUUUACCUCUUCACAAGGAACUCUUAAUAUCCCAGGACUGCCAUGGUUUUUUGCUGCAACGUUGACUGUUCUCUGUGCAAAACUCCUCUUCCACAGCCAUGGAUUGUUGUCCAUAACAAUAUCAGCUCUCUGCAAACAGCAGAAUCCACGAUUUAAAGCUUUCAUAUGCAUGCAACCUAUAAUCUUCAGAUCAUAAACCCAGAAGAGAAUACACAUUCCUUUCUAAGCAAACAACAGCACAGAAUUACACUAGGGAUCAUUCUCACCUGCUGAAAUUUGCAAUGUCACAAUUUGACAAACUAACCAAAGCCAAUGCAGUAUCAAGAACUUGAAGUCCUUCAAUAUUUCCGCAGAGACCAAAGCAUGGUAAAGAAUGGGGGAGAUAAGGUUGUUUUCUGCAGAAAUUUGGGUUGUGUAAAAGCUAAAAACUAAAAAGAGAUGGGUUUUACAUAGGAUACUGCUGCUUUUUGGCUGUGGA
rnacentral:lncRNA from 1 species